UUGUAUCCCUCUCCCUUCCCAUUCUCCCAAAACGCAAACCCUACCUGCCGCAGUUGGAUGACGCCGCGGAGACGAAGAGAGGGACGAAUUUCAGAUUGUGGGCUUCCAGACUGUCUGAUCGCGGGUUCAAUUGAAGCGUCGAAAACGAAAACCGGAUUUCAAGGACUGAUUUUCGGCGCAACGGUGUAGAUUUUUGAAGACGAUUUCAGUUUCAAAGAGGGCAAGAAGGGCCUUUUACGAAGACGAUUUUGAUGAUGGCAUUCCAAUAGGCCCUACGACCCAUUAUAGGCAGGAAUACGAAGCUUAAAUGGAUGCUGGAAUGGCGGCUAAGUUUGAGGCCCUUGGCGAUGGUUUCGUUUGGAUGUGUAUACUACAACCUAGCCACAUAGGUUUUUAAACCCAAAGGCUAUGGAUUCAGUUUCCCUUAAACAGUAUACCCCUCAAUUAGUACCUAUUAUGAAUGUACAUUAGAAAACACUAUUCGUACAUUAUCUACAUCAAGCAUGUACAUUAUUUAUUGAAAACACAUGUUUCGUACAUCAUUUAGUACAUGUGUGCUACAUUAUUUUGAAUUA